GCUUUCUCUUUUGAGUGCUGGGGGCUUUGAAAUUGUCUCCACAAUGAAAGAGGAUUCAUGAAGUAAUGAAAAGCUGUUUCCUUUUUAAAAUGUUCAGACAGCAGCACAAACAUCUGGGAAUUUGUUUAAAUACUCUGGUUCCCUGAAUUACCCAUUUCCUUAACAUAUAUUUUACUUAUUUUUCUAAGGGGGAUAAAUUUCUACUUUGUGUUUUCCCCCGCUCAGCUGUGUUAGGCUCCUUAUUUUGUUUAGUAUGUAGGUUGCUUGGUAUCUAAGCACACAAGGUAGAACACUACCAUGCAAGCUAUUGUCAGAUGCCAAGGGCAAAGUGAUUUCUGCGUGCGAUCAAGAAGGUUUUGUUUUUUUUCAUUAGAAUUUCAUUUCUUAUAAAUUAAAGAAAGGAAGAAAUGGUUAAAAUGAUCUAGUGUGUCUCUUGAGGAAUAAUCAAGCAAUAGUCCUCAAAACUGGAAUUGAAGCAAAACUGUUAUUUUCCUUCUUCUUUGCAAAAUUCAGUUUCUCUUUCCAAUUUCAGAAGUCAUGCGACUUCUCUUUCUUUCUCCCCACUUUCUCCCCCUCUUCAUGGUCUCAGAAGGAUGAAAAUGUACGUGUGGGGGAGGGAGGUGGUGGUAGGCUGUGGUCAAUAUUUAGGAAGCUAGGAUGAGAGAAAUGCAGGUGAUUUCUGAACUUGGAACAUACUUUAUGUCUAUUUAUGUCUAUUUAGGGAUGUAGGAUCUGGACUGAUGUAAAAAUUCGGACCUGCUUAAAUAUAUCAAUCUAAUAUCAGAUGACGAGUCCGCGCAGUGUUUAUAGCUUCCUCGAUCGUCAGGGAGCUCUGCCUCUGUUUCUGUUUUACUUGUCACCCUCAUACAAAUAUUCUUCAAACGUGGUUAUGCAUCAGGUUCUGUGCUACCCGCUUAAACGGACCCUGGCAGGAGUCGGGAGAGUCAGGCUGGAAGACACGCAAAAGGAGCCCACCCUACCCCUGGCAUUCCUGGAUUUUCCAUUACAACACAAAUGCCCUAACCAGGGACCCGCUUUGCACUGCCCGAGGUUAAUGGCCCAUUUUGCAGGAUCCUGUUGUAAUCCAGAGUAA
rnacentral:lncRNA from 12 species